GAUGAACGCUGGCGGCGUGCCUAAUACAUGCAAGUCGAGCGAACAGACGAGGAGCUUGCUCCUCUUACGUUAGCGGCGGACGGGUGAGUAACACGUGGAUAAUCUACCUAUAAGACUGGGAUAACUUCGGGAAACCGGAGCUAAUACCGGAUAAUAUAUUGAACCGCAUGGUUCAUUAGUGAAAGACGGUUUUGCUGUCACUUAUAGAUGGAUCCGCGCCGCAUUAGCUAGUUGGUAAGGUAACGGCUUACCAAGGCAACGAUGCGUAGCCGACCUGAGAGGGUGAUCGGCCACACUGGCACUGAGACACGGUCACGACUCCUACGGGAGGCAGCAGUAGGGAAUCUUCCGCAAUGGGCGAAAGCUUGACGGAGCAACGCCGCGUGAGUGAUGAAGGUCUUCGGAUCGUAAAACUCUGUUAUUAGGGAAGAACAAAUGUGUAAGUAACUAUGCACGUCUUGACGGUACCUAAUCAGAAAGCCACGGCUAACUACGUG
rnacentral:rRNA from 1 species